CCUACGGGAGGCAGCAGUGGGGAAUAUUGGGCAAUGGGCGCAAGCCUGAACCAGCAACGCCGCGUGAAGGAAGAAGGCUUUCGGGUUGUAAACUUCUUUUGUCAGGGACGAAGCAAGUGACGGUACCUGACGAAUAAGCCACGGCUAACUACGUGCCAGCAGCCGCGGGAAUACGUAGGUGGCAAGCGUUAUUCGGAUUUACUGGGUGUAAAGGGCGUGUAGGCGGGGAAGCAAGUCAGAUGUGAAAACCACGGGCUCAACCUGUGGCCUGCAUUUGAAACUGUUUUUCUUGAGUGCUGGAGAGGCAAUCGGAAUUCCGUGUGUAGCGGUGAAAUGCGUAGAUAUACGGAGGAACACCAGUGGCGAAGGCGGAUUGCUGGACAGUAACUGACGCUGAGGCGCGAAAGCGUGGGGAACAAACAGGAUUAGAUACCCGAGUAGUC
rnacentral:rRNA from 1 species